rnacentral:rRNA from 1 species
AACGAACGCUGGCGGCAGGCUUAACACAUGCAAGUCGAACGAGACCUUCGGGUCUAGUGGCGCACGGGUGCGUAACGCGUGGGAAUCUGCCCUUGGGUUCGGAAUAACAGUUAGAAAUGACUGCUAAUACCGAAUGAUGUCGUAAGACCAAAGAUUUAUCGCCCAGGGAUGAGCCCGCGUAAGAUUAGGUAGUUGGUGUGGUAAAGGCGCACCAAGCCGACGAUCUUUAGCUGGCUGAGAGGAUGAUCAGCCA